CAAGUCGAACGGUAACUUGUCUUCUUGAUGCUGACCAGUGGCGUACGGGUGAGUAACCUUCCCGAACGUGCCCGAACAGCGCAGGAUAACGAAACCAAAUCUUUGCUGAUACCGCAUACGAUCUCAUGAUGAAAGCAGGGGACCGCACGGCCUUGCACUCACGGAGCGGCCGAUGGCAGAUUAGGUAGUUGGAGGGAUAAAAGCUUACCAAGCCGACUAUCUGUACCUGGUCUGACAGGACCACCACCCACACUGGGACUGAAACACGGCCCAGACUCCUACGGGAGGCAGCAGUGGGGAAUUUUGGACAAUGGGCGCAAGCCUGAUCCAGCCAUGCCACGUGCAAGAUGAUUCCCUUCGGGUUGUAAACUGCUUUUGUACAGAACAAAAAGACUCCUUCUAAUAGAGGGGGUCCGUGAC
rnacentral:rRNA from 1 species